rnacentral:rRNA from 1 species
GACGAACGCUGGCGGCGUGCUUAACACAUGCAGGCCGAACGGAAAGGCCCUGCUUUUGUGGGGUGCUCGAGUGGCGAACGGGUGAGUAACACGUGAGUAACCUGCCCUUGACUUUGGGAUAACUUCAGGAAACUGGGGCUAAUACCGGAUAGGAGCUCCUGCUGCAUGGUGGGGGUUGGAAAGUUUCGGCGGUUGGGGAUGGACUCGCGGCUUAUCAGCUUGUUGGUGGGGUAGUGGCUUACCAAGGCUUUGACGGGUAGCCGGCCUGAGAGGGUGACCGGCCACAUUGGGACUGAGAUACGGCCCAGACUCCUACGGGAGGCAGCAGUGGGGAAUAUUGCACAAUGGGCGGAAGCCUGAUGCAGCAACGCCGCGUGCGGGAUGACGGCCUUCGGGUUGUAAACCGCUUUCGCCUGUGACGAAGCGUGAGUGACGGUAAUGGGUAAAGAAGCACCGGCUAACUACGUG